GAUGCUCCGCAAUCAUGCUGCAAUGCUUUGAGCUGCUGUCAUCUUAGCCGUUCUUUCACUAGAGACUCCCAGCCCCAGAGCAAAGUCAGAGUGAGGAAAUGCGGCCCCACAUCUCAGCUGCUUCUGGGCAAACUCCGAGGUAUGUGCUGAAACCAAGGCCAUGGUGGUUUGCAGGCUGUCUAUGCACRGGGAAGCAAGGAUGGAUGCUGCAGCCCCUUCAGCUGUCCCACUUCCCUUGCCACAAGUAAAUCAGAGCCCUUCAACCUCCAGGUGAUGACCUCGAGCUCCUGAGGGCAGAGGGUAGGUCCCUGUCCCGCUCUGCCGUCCCAGGAGCAGGGGCAGUAACCUGCAGCAGCGAGGCAGAGUGGACAGACGCUCAAAUAAACCCCAAUUCUGCAAGCACUUAACCAGCAAGCAUCGCAAACAGCAGUGAGGCCAUGCAGGAUCACGAGCAUAUGAGCGCCAGGUGACAGCAAGAUUUUGUUAUAGGCUGCUCUAGGCAUCCAGCACACCAGAGCCCUGACCCCUGACUGGACUUUCUGGGGAUGACUAUAAAAUGAACAGCGCAGAGCGCUCGGGACCCAGGCUUUCAAAUGGCAGGACUCCCCUUCGACGCGUACACUUCUGCGCAAGCAACAGUUUCGCUUGUGCAUGGGCAGGCAAGCAGGGGAGACAGGAAAGGCACUGGCUAAAAACAGUGCAGACUGAGGUCUGGCAGGGAAGGAGACCAGCGCAGACGGAUGGACAAAGACUCUGGACAGACCAAGCUUCCUGCAGGACUGAGUGGGUGGUGAUGGCCUUGUCCACGGAGAAGGAAUCUGAACUGCAGAGACUACUCAUAGUAAUGGUGAUUACUAUUAAAGCUCAGAGCUUUUCAUUACUGAAAACUUCAAAAAACUGUCCUGAACUAUAUUUGAGACAUGGUUUUUUCAUGUUAACUCGAGGUUUGAUUGCUGGAAAAGGUGGACUGCUAGAAAAAGAAAACCAGUGCGCUGCACAGCAGUUGGGAAUCGAAGCCCUUCUUUACCAGAACCCCUGCCAUAUACGUACUGUCACUCACCUUCCAGACACUCAGUACAACCAUUCAAUCUAUUGA
rnacentral:lncRNA from 1 species